rnacentral:rRNA from 1 species
AGAGUUUGAUCCUGGCUCAGGAUGCCUUUGGCGGCGUGCUUAACACAUGCAAGUCGAACGGGGAUGCUUAUGGAAGGAGUGCUUGCACUUUGGAAAUGAGUAUCUUAGUGGCGGACGGGUGAGUAACGCGUGGGUAACCUGCCCCAUACCGGGGGAUACCACCUGGAAACAGGUGCUAAUACCGCAUAAGCACACGGGAGCGCAUGCUCCUGUGUGAAAAACUCCGGUGGUAUGGGAUGGACCCGCGUCUGAUUAGCCAGUUGGCAGGGUAACGGCCUACCAAAGCGACGAUCAGUAGCCGGCCUGAGAGGGUGGACGGCCACAUUGGGACUGAGACACGGCCCAAACUCCUACGGGAGGCAGCAGUGAGGAAUAUUGGUCAAUGGUCGGGAGACUGAACCAGCCAAGCCGCGUGAGGGAGGAAGGUACAGAGUAUCGUAAACCUCUUUUGUCAGGGAACAAAGGCGGGGACGUGUCCCCGGAUGAGUGUACCUGAAGAAAAAGCAUCGGCUAACUCCGUGCCAGCAGCCGCGGUAAUACGGAGGAUGCGAGCGUUAUCCGGAUUUAUUGGGUUUAAAGGGUGCGCAGGCGGUCUGUUAAGUCAGCGGUCAAAGCCCGGGGCUCAACCCCGGCCCGCCGUUGAAACUGGCAGUCUCGAGUUGGAGAGAAGUAUGCGGAAUGCGCGGUGUAGCGGUGAAAUGCAUAGAUAUCGCGCAGAACUCCGAUUGCGAAGGCAGCAUGCCGGCUCCACACUGACGCUGAGGCACGAAAGCGUGGGUAUCGAACAGGAUUAGAUACCCUGGUAGUCCACGCAGUAAACGAUGAAUGCUGGCUGUCCGGGGGGAUUGACCCCUGGGUGGCGAAGCGAAAGCGAUAAGCAUUCCACCUGGGGAGUACGCCGGCAACGGUGAAACUCAAAGGAAUUGACGGGGGCCCGCACAAGCGGAGGAACAUGUGGUUUAAUUCGAUGAUACGCGAGGAACCUUACCCGGGCUCAAACGGGGAGUGACUCAGGCAGAGACGCCUGUUUCCCACGGGACACUCCCCGAGGUGCUGCAUGGUUGUCGUCAGCUCGUGCCGUGAGGUGUCGGCUUAAGUGCCAUAACGAGCGCAACCCCCGCGUGCAGUUGCUAACAGAUAACGCUGAGGACUCUGCACGGACUGCCGGCGCAAGCCGCGAGGAAGGCGGGGAUGACGUCAAAUCAGCACGGCCCUUACGUCCGGGGCAACACACGUGUUACAAUGGGUGGUACAGCGGGAAGCCAGGCGGCGACGCCGAGCGGAACCCGAAAUCCACUCUCAGUUCGGAUCGGAGUCUGCAACCCGACUCCGUGAAGCUGGAUUCGCUAGUAAUCGCGCAUCAGCCAUGGCGCGGUGAAUACGUUCCCGGGCCUUGCACACACCGCCCGUCAAG